AGAAUCAAAGAAUACCCCAUGAGUCCAUGACACUGAGUUGCUACAUUUGAGAACCACAGGCAUCAAAAGCACUGCACAGCUACUAGUAUUGCUGUAUACAUUUUUAGUUACAACUCAAAUUAGAGAAUUCUACAGAUGAAGAACUUGUUAAUAAAGGGGAUCCUUCACCACUCUGUGGGAAAUCAGAGAUGGAAGCAAGCAUACGGCUGAUGCUAAGUGACCGCGCUGGUUUGAAACUAAGUGAUUUUAUCAACUUGUUAUCAGAGAAGACAUUAGACGAAUUCGAAAGGAUUAAAUAAACCAGAGCCUGAACAACCACAAACAUGACCACCUUGAUGACAAAUGUUUCUACUUCCAUUACUCUUCAGCACUUUCAGCCCCAAAGUUUACUACUACUCAAAGAUUUCUUGAUGCCGAGACUUGGAAAGGAACUCGUGUAAAGUUGGAUACGGAGAAAAUAAUAUCUGAAUGAACUAUGAAGAAUACUGGAUGUGUUUAGGAUUAUAUAUAGAAUGGUGCUGUUCUAAAGAAGUUGGCUGUGACUUGUUACUGGAAAGAAGGAGGAAGCUGUUUUAGUUUGGCCUUAAACGUGAGUUUUUGUUAGGAAAGUGGCUUCAUCUUAUCCAACUUUAGUUGUUAUGACUCAUCAGUCAUUGCUAAAUUGUAUAAGACAGAAAACAAAAGAAACUUGAGGGUGGCUUCUGUUAUCAAUAUUUUAAAUGAUUUCUUCUCCUUUCUGUUGGCUGUUUUCUAGAAGACAUACUACACUGUUCAAGCUCAAUCACCAAACCACUAGCAUACUUUUCUUAAGUUUCUUGAUGUGGACAGGGGCUUAAUCCAACAAAUUAGUGUUCUUCUCUAAGUAGUUCAUGUCUUUUGACAGAAUCAGGAAACUUCUGAAAUUUUAACUUUUUUAUUAUCUUCCAGUUUACCUAGUUUCCCCGCCCCUCAUAUUCUUAGACACGGAAACAGUCUCUCUACUUCUUACAUUUCUCACCGUACUUCUUGGAAUAUACGAAUGUGUUCAGUUCAGGCGUCUAUCUUUGCAUCUAAGUCAUCAACUUAUUUGGAAACUAAAAACAAACAUAACAGUGCCAAUAAACCCUGUCCAGUCCGUGCAACCUCAGCAAUUCAAAGACAUAUAUAAGGAUUGGCUCGUUACUCGAAUAGGACAUGUAUCAUAUACUUUUCAAUGAACAAAUACAGUCCUCAUCAUUUUUCCAGUUCUUUGAUUAACAAUUCUAUCAUCUUCUUAUACAUGGGCAUAUAGUGAUCAUUAACCAUAGUUUUUGACAAUCUUAGCUUACUAUACAAUUCCCUAUUUGUCUCGUAGAUACUAACAUGUUUAUGUUCAUGCUCCUCAGUUAUAUGAUCCUGACCUGAAUCACUUGCCUCAGAGGUGACUACAGUAAUUAUAUGCAUAAUUCUUCCAG
rnacentral:lncRNA from 1 species